rnacentral:rRNA from 1 species
GCUAACGUCCGUCGUGAAGAGGGAAACAACCCAGACCGCCAGCUAAGGUCCCAAAGUCAUGGUUAAGUGGGAAACGAUGUGGGAAGGCUCAGACAGCCAGGAUGUUGGCUUAGAAGCAGCCAUCAUUUAAAGAAAGCGUAAUAGCUCACUGGUCGAGUCGGCCUGCGCGGAAGAUGUAACGGGGCUAAACCAUGCACCGAAGCUGCGGCAGCGACACUAAGUGUUGUUGGGUAGGGGAGCGUUCUGUAAGCCUGUGAAGGUGUGCUGUGAGGCAUGCUGGAGGUAUCAGAAGUGCGAAUGCUGACAUAAGUAACGAUAAAGCGGGUGAAAAGCCCGCUCGCCGGAAGACCAAGGGUUCCUGUCCAACGUUAAUCGGGGCAGGGUGAGUCGACCCCUAAGGCGAGGCCGAAAGGCGUAGUCGAUGGGAAACAGGUUAAUAUUCCUGUACCAGGUGUUACUGCGAAGGGGGGACGGAGAAGGCUAUGUUGGCCGGGCGACGGUUGUCCCGGUUUAAGCGUGUAGGUGUGUGUUCCAGGUAAAUCCGGUUCACUUUAACACUGAGGCGUGAUGACGAGGCACUACGGUGCUGAAGCAACAAAUGCCCUGCUUCCAGGAAAAGCCUCUAAGCAUCAGGUAACAUCAGAUCGUACCCCAAACCGACACAGGUGGUCAGGUAGAGAAUACCAAGGCGCUUGAGAGAACUCGGGUGAAGGAACUAGGCAAAAUGGUGCCGUAACUUCGGGAGAAGGCACGCUGAUAUGUAGGUGAAGCGAUUUACUCGUGGAGCUGAAAUCAGUCGAAGAUACCAGCUGGCUGCAACUGUUUAUUAAAAACACAGCACUGUGCAAACACGAAAGUGGACGUAUACGGUGUGACGCCUGCCCGGUGCCGGAAGGUUAAUUGAUGGGGUUAUCCGUAAGGAGAAGCUCUUGAUCGAAGCCCCGGUAAACGGCGGCCGUAACUAUAACGGUCCUAAGGUAGCGAAAUUCCUUGUCGGGUAAGUUCCGACCUGCACGAAUGGCGUAAUGAUGGCCAGGCUGUCUCCACCCGAGACUCAGUGAAAUUGAACUCGCUGUGAAGAUGCAGUGUACCCGCGGCAAGACGGAAAGACCCCGUGAACCUUUACUAUAGCUUGACACUGAACACUGGUCCUUGAUGUGUAGGAUAGGUGGGAGGCUUUGAAGCGCGGACGCCAGUUCGUGUGGAGCCAUCCUUGAAAUACCACCCUUUAAUGGCUGGUGUUCUAACGUGGGCCCGUAAUCCGGGUUGCGGACAGUGUCUGGUGGGUAGUUUGACUGGGGCGGUCUCCUCCUAAAGAGUAACGGAGGAGCACGAAGGUUAGCUAAUCCUGGUCGGACAUCAGGAGGUUAGUGCAAAGGCAUAAGCUAGCUUGACUGCGAGCGUGACGGCGCGAGCAGGUGCGAAAGCAGGUCUUAGUGAUCCGGUGGUUCUGAAUGGAAGGGCCAUCGCUCAACGGAUAAAAGGUACUCCGGGGAUAACAGGCUGAUACCGCCCAAGAGUUCAUAUCGACGGCGGUGUUUGGCACCUCGAUGUCGGCUCAUCACAUCCUGGGGCUGAAGUAGGUCCCAAGGGUAUGGCUGUUCGCCAUUUAAAGUGGUACGCGAGCUGGGUUUAGAACGUCGUGAGACAGUUCGGUCCCUAUCUGCCGUGGGCGCUGGAGAAUUGAGGGGGGCUGCUCCUAGUACGAGAGGACCGGAGUGGACGCAUCACUGGUGUUCGGGUUGUCAUGCCAAUGGCACUGCCCGGUAGCUAAAUGCGGAAGAGAUAAGUGCUGAAAGCAUCUAAGCACGAAACUUGCCCCGAGAUGAGUUCUCCCUGACCCUUUAAGGGUCCUGAAGGAACGUUGAAG